rnacentral:rRNA from 1 species
GAUGAACGCUGGCGGCGUGCCUAAUACAUACAAGUCGAGCGAACAGAUGAGGAGCUUGCUCCUCUGACGUUAGCGGCGGACGGGUGAGUAACACGUGGAUAACCUACCUAUAAGACUGGGAUAACUUCGGGAAACCGGAGCUAAUACCGGAUAAUAUAUUGAACCGCAUGGUUCAAUAGUGAAAGACGGUUUUGCUGUCACUUAUAGAUGGAUCCGCGCCGCAUUAGCUAGUUGGUAAGGUAACGGCUUACCAAGGCAACGAUGCGUAGCCGACCUGAGAGGGUGAUCGGCCACACUGGAACUGAGACACGGUCCAGACUCCUACGGGAGGCAGCAGUAGGGAAUCUUCCGCAAUGGGCGAAAGCUUGACGGAGCAACGCCGCGUGAGUGAUGAAGGUCUUCGGAUCGUAAAACUCUGUUAUUAGGGAAGAACAAAUGUGUAAGUAACUAUGCACGUCUUGACGGUACCUAAUCAGAAAGCCACGGCUAACUACGUG